UACGGGGGGGGCAAGCGUUGUUCGGAAUUACUGGGCGUAAAGGGCUCGUAGGUGGCCAACUAAGUCAGACGUGAAAUCCCUCGGCUUAACCGGGGAACUGCGUCUGAUACUGGAUGGCUUGAGUUUGGGAGAGGGAUGCGGAAUUCCAGGUGUAGCGGUGAAAUGCGUAGAUAUCUGGAGGAACACCGGUGGCGAAGGCGGCGUCCUGGACCAACACUGACACUGAGGAGCGAAAGCCAGGGGAGCAAACAGG
rnacentral:rRNA from 1 species